rnacentral:lncRNA from 1 species
UGUUGAGUGGCUACUCGGUCUUGGUCCCAGUCUAGGCAUUGUACGGGUUCGUGGCAUUGGCCUCAUACACACUGAGCUUGUAUCCGGAAUCCCAGCAAUCUUUUCACACUUUGUUACCAAUCUUCCGGCAUUCCACCAGAUCUUAGUAUUCCUUUGUGUCAAAUCUGUCCCAGUUCCUCAUGUUAAACAUGAGGAGCGUUUCCUGGUGGGACACAUUGGCCCAGGAGAGUUCCGCAUGUACAGGUGCAUUGUCAGGUAUGGUCUUAGUUUUCCUUUGUGUCAAAUCUGUCCCAGUUCCUCAUGUUAAACAUGAGGAGCGUUUCCUGGUUGGACACAUUGGCCCAAGAGAGUACCGCAUGUACAGGUGCAUUGUCAGGUAUGGUUAUCGCGAUGCUCACAAGGAUGAUUCAGAAUUCGAGAAUGAUCUUGUAUGUAGCAUAGCAGAGUUUAUACGGACAGGAAGGACAGGGUUGAAUGUUAACGGUGAAGAUCUUAGAAAGGAUUUUGAGGACCUCAUCGUUGUUGGAACCCCUUCGACUCAUUUAUCAGGAGUUCAACUUUGCGACGAUGAGGAUGUAAAUGCUGAAU